rnacentral:rRNA from 1 species
AUUGAACGCUGGCGGAAUGCUUUACACAUGCAAGUCGAACGGCAGCACGGGGCAACCUGGUGGCGAGUGGCGAACGGGUGAGUAAUACAUCGGAACGUGCCCAGUCGUGGGGGAUAACGUAGCGAAAGUUACGCUAAUACCGCAUACGAUCUAAGGAUGAAAGCGGGGGAUCGCAAGACCUCGCGCGAUUGGAGCGGACGAUGGCAGAUUAGGUAGUUGGUGGGGUAAAGGCCCACCAAGCCGACGAUCUGUAGCUGGUCUGAGAGGACGACCAGCCACACUGGGACUGAGACACGGCCCAGACUCCUACGGGAGGCAGCAGUGGGGAAUUUUGGACAAUGGGCGCAAGCCUGAUCCAGCCAUUCCGUGUGCAGGAUGAAGGCCUUCGGGUUGUAAACUGCUUUUGUACGGAGCGAAAAGGCUCUCUCUAAUACAGGGGGCUCAUGACGGUACCGUAAGAAUAAGCACCGGCUAACUACGUGCCAGCAGCCGCAGUAA